rnacentral:pre_miRNA from 1 species
AGCCUUCUGUAUCUGUGCUGCGAUUUCGUCACACAUCGGACCACGAAGGCUGAUGAGACUCCCAACACAAGUGAAGUG